AUGAACGCUAGCUACAGGCUUAACACAUGCAAGUCGAGGGGCAUCAGGAAGAAAGCUUGCUUUCUUUGCUGGCGACCGGCGCACGGGUGAGUAACACGUAUCCAACCUGCCCUUUACUCGGGGAUAGCCUUUCGAAAGAAAGAUUAAUACCCGAUGGCAUAAUGAUUCCGCAUGGUUUCAUUAUUAAAGGAUUCCGGUAAAGGAUGGGGAUGCGUUCCAUUAGGUUGUUGGUGAGGUAACGGCUCACCAAGCCUUCGAUGGAUAGGGGUUCUGAGAGGAAGGUCCCCCACAUUGGAACUGAGACACGGUCCAAACUCCUACGGGAGGCAGCAGUGAGGAAUAUUGGUCAAUGGGCGCUAGCCUGAACCAGCCAAGUAGCGUGAAGGAUGAAGGCUCUAUGGGUCGUAAACUUCUUUUAUAUAAGAAUAAAGUGCAGUAUGUAUACUGUUUUGUAUGUAUUAUAUGAAUAAGGAUCGGCUAACUCCGUGCCAGCAGCCGCGGUAAUACGUAGGUGGCAAGCGUUGUCCGGAUUUACUGGGUGUAAAGGGCGUGCAGCCGGGUCUGCAAGUCAGAUGUGAAAUCCAUGGGCUCAACCCAUGAACUGCAUUUGAAACUGUAGAUCUUGAGUGUCGGAGGGGCAAUCGGAAUUCCUAGUGUAGCGGUGAAAUGCGUAGAUAUUAGGAGGAACACCAGUGGCGAAGGCGGAUUGCUGGACGAUAACUGACGGUGAGGCGCGAAAGUGUGGGGAGCAAACAGGAUUAGAUACCCUGGUAGUCCACACAGUAAACGAUGAAUACUCGCUGUUUGCGAUAUACAGUAAGCGGCCAAGCGAAAGCAUUAAGUAUUCCACCUGGGGAGUACGCCGGCAACGGUGAAACUCAAAGGAAUUGACGGGGGCCCGCACAAGCGGAGGAACAUGUGGUUUAAUUCGAUGAUACGCGAGGAACCUUACCCGGGCUUAAAUUGCAGUGGAAUGAUGUGGAAACAUGUCAGUGAGCAAUCACCGCUGUGAAGGUGCUGCAUGGUUGUCGUCAGCUCGUGCCGUGAGGUGUCGGCUUAAGUGCCAUAACGAGCGCAACCCUUAUCUUCAGUUACUAACAGGUUAUGCUGAGGACUCUGGAGAGACUGCCGUCGUAAGAUGUGAGGAAGGUGGGGAUGACGUCAAAUCAGCACGGCCCUUACGUCCGGGGCUACACACGUGUUACAAUGGGGGGUACAGAAGGCAGCUAGCGGGUGACCGUAUGCUAAUCCCAAAAUCCUCUCUCAGUUCGGAUCGAAGUCUGCAACCCGACUUCGUGAAGCUGGAUUCGCUAGUAAUCGCGCAUCAGCCACGGCGCGGUGAAUACGUUCCCGGGCCUUGUACACACCGCCCGUCAAGCCAUGGGAGCCGGGGGUACCUGAAGUACGUAACCGCAAGGAUCGUCCUAGGGUAAAACUGGUGACUGGGGCU
rnacentral:rRNA from 1 species